UUUUUUUCCCUCUCAACUCAUCGGCGGGAUUUUGCUCCUACGAUGGCAUCGCAUUUGGCAUGUAGUUUUCAAUGGCGGGAAGGAUUAUGCAGAUAUCUCAUUCGAGGGAUCUUUCUCUCACUUAAUUCAAGGGCUCCUUCAGAGAGCGGGAAGAGUCGACCGAGAAUCAAUAGGAGAGACUGGUUUGUGAAGGAAGGGGCGGUCAUCCUACAGGAUACUUCAAAGAACUUAUUUGAAGGGACCGAUUCCUCCCACUGGAGUGCUUCAAUUCUUAGAUUGACACUUUCCCCUCUUCCAUUCUUCUCUAUCUCUUUCUUUCUACAUGGAUCAGUGUCCUUUGGUAUGGGUCUUCUCUUCCUACGCAUGGACUAAGUGCCAGAUACAACACAACAAAACUAUCCUUCCCUUAAACUUCCUACUGUAGCAUGUCCUUCAACAUCGACAAACUCAAUCUUGGUAUUCUACUUUAACCAGGGAACCACCAUUUAAUUUUCCAUUUCCUCCUUACUAUUUCAGGCGGAUGACACAAGUUCUGCUCAUCUCAUACAACAACUUCCUGAGAUUGAUGCUCCACACCCUCUCUCAGACCAAGAUCAACUUAUAACAUUAAAGGCCCCCUCUCAACCUCUCUUUUAUGAACGACCACCACCACACUACUCUUCUCGGUUAUCAAAUCUUUGCCUCUUCUCGAUUCUAUUAUAUUUGACUUUUCUAUUUUGUGACGUGCUUACGCCAAGGGAAUACCUUUGACUGCUAUUGGAACCCUAUCAAGAGAUCCAUAAGCUAAAAUAGCCUUUACCGUCGUAGAAUAUCAUUGUUGACAGUGUACUGCUAUUGAUGACUUGGUCUGAUUAUAUGAUUGUGCCCCCUUCAUUCACAUCACUAUAGCUUCUUGAAUGGACUAUUCUGAUUUGAUAUGGAAGUUUUGGACUAUGAAUGGUGCAUUUGAUGUUGGCAUAUGUGCAGAGUUUGAUGACAUGAUGGUGUAUGUUGUCAUUGAUGUCAAUAUGCUGAAGUAUGAACCGGUAUAUUGAAGUAAGCAAACUGACAAGUGAACUGGUAUGAUGGUAUGAAGUGAACCGGUAUGAUGGUAUGAACCAGUAUGUGCGAAAAGGUGAACCGGUAUGUUGGAAUGUGAACUUGUAUAUGCAAAGUUUGUAUUGGGGUUUCAUUUGAUAUGACUAUCGGUUGGUAGUCUCGGCUUCAGGGUUUCUAGUUGAUGCAUUCUAAGUCUGUGUGAUUUGACCAAUGACAUCCUGUGAUGAGUUAGCAUUGAAAUGAAGACGAGAUCGUGUUGCCACGUCAGCUUUGUACGCGUGAAUAAUCUCCUUGAGGAUCUUGCAUGAAGAAGAUUGAUUCUAUCCACCUCGGGAAUGAGCAAAAUCUUAGUAAACAGUGGAGAGCGCGUGAUGGGUUAUCAAUGUCCAGAAGCGGUGAAGAACGAACGAUGGAGAACAUCUUGAGAUUUGUUCAAGACUGUUUUACUCUAUGCAAUGUGUUUGAACGGUCAAGAUUGGACCGACUGUAUUGUUAACCUAGAUGCUUAGGGUUUUAGGUUUUGGCUACCGACCUAAUUGUUGUCUAUAAGGUCGAUGAUGGUUUUCAUUUGAAGUUGUUGGCAAAUGUUAUGUGUGUAUCCAAGUGAAGAGAUACUUGAUUCUUGCCAGACUAGAGAAGUGAGUAGAUACCUGCAGAGUGUAAUUGCAGAUGUAAAGGAACUGAAGUGGAUUUGCCUUGACAUUAAGUGCUGUUAUCAGAUCAGUGUAUUACCUGUUGACUUCUAACCAUUUCAACAGUUGGAAAAUCCUUUUAUCAGGUAGCUUUAACAGGCCUUUUGUAAAUCCUUUAACAGGGUGACUCAAAAUCAUUGAGUUCUUCAAAUCCUCUUGCGAGGUAACCUUUAACAGGGUUUUAACCUUUAACCGGGUAUUUAGCCAUCCCUUAACCGGGUGAUUCCUAGCAGGAUCGGUUCGUAGCAGAACCUGUUGUAAAGUCUUUAACCGGACUAGGCUUCUAACAGAGCGGAUUUCAAAAGAGUUCAAGAACAACUUGUGGGUAUUCAUCCCCACCAUGAUUUUUCCCAGUUGGGUUUCCACGUGAAAAAUAAGUGUGUAAUGUGUGAUGCUUUUUCAUGUGAUGUUUUAGUGUUUUCUGUUAAGCGGUAAUGCAUGCUGAUUCAGUGGUCAUUAUAUUUCUAAUGUAUUACUUGUUUAAGCAUAUGGGUGAAGUGGAAAUGAGAUAUUAGGUUCUAAGCAUAUGGGUGAAGUGGAAAUAAGAUAUUAGGUUUUGUGAAGAUCUAAGUGUUACCGGUUUAUGACUUUUAUAGUCACUAUGUUUUACCUGUAUUGCCUUGAUUUAGAUCGGUGAUUCUGUUUACCGGUUAGUGUAGUCUUUGCUGUUUAAGUUGUUAAAAAAGUUUUUGUCUAUAUUGAUUCAACCCCCCGCCUUCCCCCCCCCCCCCCAACCCUCAAUAUCUGUUGAGUAUUUACUGUUCAUCAUUAUUCAUCAUUUGAUGGUUGUAUCUAUUGUCUUUGAUAUGUUGCUCUAAUACAUUUUGUGACUUUCUUUGAUCUGCAUUAGGGUUGUGACUAUUUAUACUCAGAUAUUUUGCUAUGAAUGUGCAUUUGACAUGACUACUAUGAGAAAUGAUUUGUUUUUGCUUAGUGAGGGGUAACUUCAUCAUGUUGGAUCUUCCCUUUUGGUGUUAAUAACUAAGACACUACACUCUUUCUAUACCCUGCUCUCACUGGCUGUGAUUGUGGCAUGCCUUCUAUUGCUUAUGGAUUGUCAUAAUAUUUUUAUUAUUCUCAGUUGUCAUGACUGUAUUGUUAACUGAAAUCUUCAUACUUGCAACAAGACUUCAAGGUUGUCCUCUUUCACAAAUAACACUAGUGAACCUAUGAUGUUAACUUGGCCUAGUUCCUAAUACCCUGCCUUAUUGUGGAAUGUCCACAUAUAGUUGGAACCUUAUAAAGUCUUUUUCCUAAAAUCUUUUUGCAGUCAAAGACAAUAGUGAAAAGUGGUUGAGAGAAUUGUUAUGAAGCCAUUAUGAGCAGAGUUGAAGCCCUAAUAUAUGAUAUGAUCUCAAUGAUCAACUUAUGUUAAGUGUGUUGGAAUUAGUUUCUUAGCUCUCAAACAAUUUCUUGCCCUUACCUCUACAUUAACAAGCCUUUGAGUGACUUUAAUAUUUUGACAGUGCUAAGUGCUAAGGAUGCGAUUGUCUUUUUUUGCAUUCUAAUAUUGAUUACCUCUAUUGUUGUAGGUGUAAGAGGUCUUAUUGUAGCAGUCUGUACAUGGCUUUGAAGGUCGUUUGUUGGGUUUUAGAAUCCUUAAACAUGCCGCUAAAUAUAUCACUGUGUGUUGUGCUCUUCUUUAGAUAACUCUCAACUCAUUCUUCUCCGACUUUUGAGAUAAUGACAUCUUCUUGAGCUGUGACUGUCCUUAAGAUAUUAAGCCUCUUGGAGUGCCCUAUUUAUGUGUAUCUUUAAGACUGAUUGAAGAUUGUAAUACCAGUCAUCUUUGUUUAUCUUAGUUUCAUUGGUCCUAGUCAUUCUCUUAUGAAUCUUCUGUUCAUUAUCCUUAUAAUGAAUGAGUUCCUUUGUAACAUUGGCUAUUCGUGACCAUUAAUGAUUGCUCUCAGAAGCAUAAUGAUUUCUUUUGACCAUGAGACUCUAGCCAAAUGGAACACUUUUCCUGAUAAAUUGAAUUUUCUGCUCAAACCAACAAAGAUACCACUGUAGCCAUAUAUGACACUUGAAUGCAUUGGACUUUGAUCUUUUACCCUUUGUGGAUUAUCUUGAUAGCGAGGUUUCUCAUUGAGCUUGUAUCAUAACUUGCCACUGUCUUUUGAUUAGACAGUGCCUUGACUAUCUUGAUAGUUUCGAGCACUUUUGGUAUUGAUCUCUAUGACACAUCUCAUGUUUUGACUGCAACAUCCUUUCAUCUGGUGAAAACUGUGAAGUGUUUGGGUAAAUGUUGAUAUGUCACCGUUUAUUGGAGGUUAUUCAAGCUUCCUUUCACUAUUGUUUUGCACUACUAAAGAGACCUUCAUUUGGUAUACUGACUUAUAUUGUCCUAUGACUGUUAUAACAGAUUCUCCUAUCUAAUACAAUGAUAAGAUCACUAUUAUUGGGUAUUAUGCUAUAUUUCUUGGACAAAUGACUGUCAUUGUGAGAUUGGGGACUAUACACUCUUCAUAUGACCUUGUGAUGGUCCUUAAUAAUAAUUGUCUCAUGAAAUUUGACCAUGGAUCAUUAUAUGUCACUCCCAAUAUAAUGGCACUUUAGCAAUUACUAUUUUUUGAAGCAAUCCAUCAUACUCUUAACAUGUAGGCCUGUAACUUAGCAUGUUGGGCUCAACCCUUAUGGGAGCCACAUUUUACCCCACAUGCCAUAAUUCGAUGAAUAAUAAGUUACUUUCCUUGUAUCUGCCAAUGAAGCAAACAAGUUAGAUAAAACAUCAUAUGAUGAUUUCUUCUUGAUGAUUUGAUCUGCCAUUUGUUUCUUGAGUUUAUAUGUUGAGCUAGCUGUUGUGAUGCACAUGAGGGUUAGCUUGUAUGUUUGUAGUUGCGUGUGCAUAUAUGGGAUGAUGACCCUUCAUUGAUCUAACACACUAUUUUA